UAGAAAGAAAAGGGAUCGUUUCUAUAGUUCAUUACUAGAGAAGUUUCUCUGACUCCAUAGAGCACCAGAAACCAUGAAGAGACUUAGCAUUCUCUCCUGAGCAUAAAGUCAGCCCUUAGUGUUGCUUUCUGCAACUGCUACUUGCCAUUGAUGAUCAUUGUUCGCUUCCUAUGGAAGAGUAAAAGGGGUCAAUGUAGUCUGAGUGUA